rnacentral:lncRNA from 1 species
GGAUUAUAUGUGUCAGCUGCUAUCUUACAAUGUGGGAUGGAGGAAAGAGGUGAUGCCCUCCUGUUCUAGGUCCCGACUCACAAUGUCCAAUUUGAUCAGUGGAGGUGAUGCCCGACUCCAUCUGUCCAUUUUUAUCAUCCGGACAUUCCGUCCCACAAACGCCCCUCUCCGAUGACCUCCCCCUCUCGGGUCUGUAGACCUCUCUGCACUGCAGUACCUACAUGCAUGCAUCUGCAGGACCCUCCGACACAGCACAAAUGUGUGUAUGGGAAUUUACAGUCAGUUGGACGCAUACCGUAACUCUGCAGCUUUAAUCAAUUGUGUUGGAGAACACAGCAGACUCUUAUGUAAGAAUGCCACAACGGUCAAGGCACAGCCAGAGGCUACUAAUAUGAUUUCACUGGUCACUAUCACUACACAGCUUUGAAUUACAAAGAACAUGAUUUCAAUUAUUCUAAGGUGUUUAUACAAUAAACUGAUGUUUUUUUUGUUUGUGGUUGUUGUUGUUUUUUUACUAUUUAAGUUUUUACAAUACAACGUAGCAAUGUAGGAGAUUCUGUAUUUAGUCUUUCUUUAUUCUUCUUUUUGUUGUCAAAAUAAAUGCGUGCAAUAAGACAGUUCUCAUUCCCUAUGCACCACUUCACUCCUUUUUCAGGAGGUCUUCACACAGUUUUGUAUUUUGCACAAAACACACUGAGCCACUCAGUAUUCACAGA